rnacentral:rRNA from 1 species
GACGAACGCUGGCGGCGUGCUUAACACAUGCAAGUCGAACGGUGAAGGGGCCUGCUUUUGUGGGCCCUGGAUGAGUGGCGAACGGGUGAGUAACACGUGAGUAACCUGCCCCCUUCUUCUGGAUAACCGCAUGAAAGUGUGGCUAAUACGGGAUAUUCUGGGUCUGUCGCAUGAUGGGUCUGGGAAAGAUUGCGCCUUUGGGUGUUUUUGGUGGGGGAUGGGCUCGCGGCCUAUCAGCUUGUUGGUGGGGUGAUGGCCUACCAAGGCGGUGACGGGUAGCCGGCCUGAGAGGGUGGACGGUCACACUGGGACUGAGACACGGCCCAGACUCCUACGGGAGGCAGCAGUGGGGAAUAUUGCACGAUGGGCGCAAGCCUGAUGCAGCGACGCCGCGUGAGGGAUGGAGGCCUUCGGGUUGUAAACCUCUUUCGCCAGUGAAGCAGGCCUGCUCCUUGUGGGUGGGUUGACGGUAGCUGGAUAAGAAGCGCCGGCUAACUACGUG